CCUACGGGGUGCAGCAGUCGAGAAUCAUUCACAAUGGGGGAAACCCUGAUGGUGCGACGCCGCGUGGGGGAAUGAAGGUCUUCGGAUUGUAAACCCCUGUCAUGUGGGAGCAAAUUAAAAAGAUAGUACCACAAGAGGAAGAGACGGCUAACUCUGUGCCAGCAGCCGCGGUAAUACAGAGGUCUCAAGCGUUGUUCGGAAUCACUGGGCGUAAAGGGUGCGUAGGCUGUUUCGUAAGUCGUGUGUGAAAGGCGCGGGCUCAACCCGCGGACGGCACAUGAUACUGCGAGACUAGAGUAAUGGAGGGGGAACCGGAAUUCUCGGUGUAGCAGUGAAAUGCGUAGAUAUCGAGAGGAACACUCGUGGCGAAGGCGGGUUCCUGGACAUUAACUGACGCUGAGGCACGAAGGCCAGGGGAGCGAAAGGGAUUAGAUACCCUAGUAGUC
rnacentral:rRNA from 1 species